UACAGAGGUGGCAAGCGUUGUUCGGAAUUACUGGGCGUAAAGGGCGCGUAGGCGGUUCGUUAAGUCCUGUGUGAAAUCCCUCGGCUUAACCGGGGAACUGCGUCCGAUACUGGUUGGCUUGAGUUUGGGAGAGGGAUGCGGAAUUCCAGGUGUAGCGGUGAAAUGCGUAGAUAUCUGGAGGAACACCGGUGGCGAAGGCGGCAUCCUGGACCAAUACUGACGCUGAGGAGCGAAAGCCAGGGGAGCAAACGGG
rnacentral:rRNA from 1 species